rnacentral:rRNA from 1 species
UACAGAGGUCUCAAGCGUUGUUCGGAUUCAUUGGGCGUAAAGGGUGCGUAGGCGGAUCGGUAAGUACCUUGUGAAAUCCCACAGCUUAACUGUGGAACUGCUUGGUAUACUGCCAGUCUUGAGCCACUUAGGGGCUACCGGAACAAAUGGUGGAGCGGUGAAAUGCGUAGAUAUCAUUUGGAACGCCAAUGGUGAAAAACAGGUAGCUGGGAGUGUGCUGACGCUGAGACACGAAAGCCAGGGGAGCAAACGGG